rnacentral:lncRNA from 1 species
CUCUCUCUCGUUCUCUUUUCUUCCAUCCUCUUUCUCUCCCUUCUUCCCACCAACCUCUGCAACGAGAGCUCCGCAACCAAAGCUGAAACUUUCGCCGAAAAGUUCACUGGGACUUGGUGGGUUUCGCCGCAUUCCGGCCCUUUCACCGGAAAAGACUUUCUGGCGCUGGAAAAAUUUCUAUUAAAAGAGCACACAGGUCUCAGAGUAAACCCUAGCUUCUGAUACGCCAUUACAGUCGCUUUGAGCUCUGUUUUUUGCUUCACUGAUACAGAGGGAGCAAUUUCCAGGGUUCUGAUAGCCUCUGCAUUGGGCAAAGCCAUAAAUUUUAAAGUUUGUUCCUUUGAUGCAGAAGCUGCGACUUGAAUUUGUUGAGGAUUGAAGGCAAUCUAGGGUUUCGUUCACGGUUUUCUGCAAGGAGGUGGGAGGGUUGUCCCAUUACAUUGAGAUGAGAUUCGAGAGAGAGAGAUGAGGCUUUGGUUGUGAGUGGCAUUAAGAGUAGGAGGAUUGGAAGGAGGUAGAGGGAGAGAUUUGAAGACAUUUGGAAGCAGGAUAGAGUUGCAGUAAAGAGAGAGAGAGGGAUAGAUGAAAGAGGCGGUAUAUGCACUUUUGAGAGAGAAUUAGAAAGGGGGUGUUUUUUUUGUUUUGUAGUGAGGUUAGCUGUGUUUGUUUCGAGGGACGGAGGCAUGAAAUUGUUGUUGAGAGAGAGAGAGAGUUGGGUUUGUCUGAGGAUUAGAUACAGUAUUGUUGGAGGUGGGCAAAGAGAGAGACGACAUUGUUGUAGAGAGAGAGAGAGAGAGAGAGAGAGAGAGAGAGAGAGAGAGAGAGAGAGAGAGAGAGAGAGAGAGAG